CAGAGAGCGCGGAGAGACGCAGAACGCAGCCAGCUCCUCCAGGGCCCUCCAGGCCCUCCGGACCCGGGCCGGCGGGUGAACUGGGGGGCCCCGGGACAGGCCGAGGCCUCUGCCCUGCAGAUACCGGAGGCCUCUGCUGUGGCUGCCCACUGGCUGUGCCCAGGCCUUGAAGCCGCAGCGAACCUCUCUUUCCCACCCCACCUGGAUGACUGAUGGCGGCGGCUGCGUCUCCCCGACGGGACCCCGCCGGCCGCCGCGUCUCCCGACCCAAGCCUGCCGGGCCUCGACGAAACCCCCGCAGAGUCGCUGGGACGCAGCGCCUUUGGGCGGCGCCGGGCGUGGUGGGCCGGAAAGUAUGGCGGCCGCUUGAACGCCGCGCGGCGGAGGCCAUUAAGGCGUGGAGGGCCCGGGAAGGCGGCCUAGGGACGCAAGCAGGCUCGGCCACCUCUUUAGGCCACGGAGCCGCGCAGAUCCGGUUCCCGGGUGACCACUCUGUCGCCAUUGGGCGAGACCGACCUAGUCCUGACGACAACGGACAAAGGCCUUCAGGGGCCUGGAAGGUGAUCAAAAUGGAACACAAUUGCUACCAGAAGAGAACUGCUCCCCUGCAGUGGAGCAGUGAAGAGGCCUUUUACAUCUAAGACCAAAGGAGAGUCUGUGGCAGUCUGAGGAAGUGCUGGCCUGUGGUAGGAUCCACAGCACCACUUCUAAAAGCCCUGUCAGGUGGCUGCCCUUGGACUGCCAUGAGAAAGCGAUGGAGGAUGGAGAGAGCACUAUGUUCUGGGGCUCUGGGUCUUGUCAUUUUAAAAAAUGUGUGGUUUCUGCAUUCAACUGCUUGUUCCUGAAAGCUGUGUUCUCUCAGGCUUCUUUCAUUCUGCAGACGACAGGUUUGGUAUCUCCAGGCCCACAUUUUCCUAAUCUAGAUUUUAGUGUCACAGAGCCAAAUUAACUCUCCAAGGCCUCCCUCAUUUUUUCACUGUUGCCAAGGAAGUUAACAAGGUUGAACAGGCAAAGUGGGAGAUGAGUGAUUUAUUUUUGGUAUUCUUAAGUAGUACAGAGAAAAAUCAUGCCAACUGAAAAAAUGAAGAAAGAAUCCCCUGAUGAGUCUAUUCUCAAGGUCUAUUAAUAAAAUCUCGUAAAUGCAAAAA
ensembl:lncRNA OVCH1-AS1 OVCH1 antisense RNA 1